rnacentral:tRNA from 1 species
GGAAGUGCGUCCAGGGCUGGUGCCCGGCACGGUCUUCAAAACCGCUGGGCCGUCUGUCAAGCAGACGGCUGGUGGGUUCGAUUCCCAUGCACUUCCGCCA